rnacentral:rRNA from 1 species
CGUGUAGGCGGUUUAAUAAGUCAGAUGUAAAAGCCCCGGCUUAACCGGGGAUAGUCAUUUGAAACUGUUAGGCUUGAGUGCGAGAGAGGGUAGCGGAAUUCCCAGUGUAGCGGUGAAAUGCGUAGAUAUUGGGAAGAACACUAGUAGCGAAGGCGGCUACCUGGCUCGCAACUGACGCUAAGGCGCGAAAGCGUGGGGAGCAAACA